AGUGAACGCUGGCGGUAGGCCUAACACAUGCAAGUCGAACGGCAGCACAGUAAGUGCUUGCUCUUACGGGUGGCGAGUGGCGGACGGGUGCGGAAUACCUCGGAAUCUACUUUUUCGUGGGGGCUAAUGCAGGGACUCUUACGCUAAUCCCGCAUACGGCCUACGGGUGAAAGCAGGGGAUCUUCGGCCCUUGCGUGAUCGAAUGAGCCGAUGUCGGAUUAGCUAGUUGGCGGGGUAAAGGCCCACCAAGGCGACGAUCCGUAGCUGGUCUGAGAGGAUGAUCAGCCACACUGGAACUGAGACACGGUCCAGACUCCUACGGGAGGCAGCAGUGGGGAAUAUUGGACAAUGGGCGCAAGCCUGAUCCAGCCAUACCGCGUGUGUGAAGAAGGUCUUCGGAUUGUAAAGCCCUUUUGUUGGGAAAGAAAAGCAGCAGGUUAAUACCCCGCUGUUCCGACGGUACCCAAAGAAUAAGCACCGGCUAACUUCGUG
rnacentral:rRNA from 1 species